rnacentral:lncRNA from 1 species
ACAUGUCAUCAUUCAAGUCAAGAAAAACACCGCUGUCACUUUGGCCCAUGCCCACCAUGUCAUCAGCCUUGCCAAAAAGUUCUGGAGAAAUGUGGGCACUUGUGUCCCAUUUCAUGUCAUGAUCAAGCAUUAGUAAAGCAGACCGGCAGGCAUCAGCUGUCAGGCCCUUGGGAGCAGCCAGCCGAGCCAGCGUUUAUUCAGACUGCGUUGCCUUGUCCUCCGUGUCAAGUUCCCAUUCCUGUGGAAUGUCUGGGGAAGCAUGAGGUAAGCCCACUACCAUGCCAUGCUGUAGGACCCUAUUCAUGCAAGAGACUUUGUGGAAGAAUGUUGAACUGUCAGAAUCAUACGUGUACGAAAGAAUGCCACAAAGUGACUGAAGUUGAUGGCUGUCCUGGCAGACAUAAGGCUGGCCCAGAAUGCCUUCAGUGUGAAGAAGGGUGUUCUAAGUCACGGCCUGCAGGUUGUCCUCACCCUUGUGUUUUGCCAUGUCACCCUGGAAAAUGCCCUCCUUGUGUCCAGAUGCUUAGAAUAAAAUGUCACUGCAAGAUCACAAACCUGUAUGUGGAAUGUAGAAAAAUAACCACAGCUGAUGUGAGUGAGAAGAACCUCCUCAGUUGUUGCAAAAACCAGUGCCCCAAAGAGGUAAGCUG